ACUUUGGGAUUAAAAAGCACACGACUGUCCCAUCAUUGAGCACUGACCCUUGUGUCCAGCAGGAAACUUCUCUAGAAGAAGACAACACCUGGAUAAAAAUGAAUAAAAUUUGGAUACUGUGUUUUGCCGUGCUGAUCAUCACCAUACCAUUUUCAGCUCAGAAUAGCGAUGCCCAGAAAUCCUCAGCUGGAGGCAGUGGCUCAACAUCCUCCACAAAUUCCAGCGCUGUAGGACUGGGUCCUGUGCCCACCACACUGUACCUGCUGAUCCCUGCGGCCACCCUGGGCUUCAUCCACAGUAGAUCCUAAACUGAUGGAUGAAGAGCUUUCGCCAUAGAUGACCAAAUGUACAGCCAUUCACCCAAAGAGCAAACUUUUCCACAAAUCUUGAAGUCAGAAGACGCCACAGCUCACAUUUUUGUAAUGGAUAUUAAGUAGGCUAAUGAAAAUGAAUAAAGUUUGGAGAAUUUCUCCAAGAGGGAUUUGUUUGGUUACACCUGUUUUAGGGAGCUUGAAAGACACCUGCAAUUCAGGGUCCUGCUACAGGGUCGUGUUUUGCUCCAAAGUCUGUUUUAGAUAGAGCUCACCAACUCAAAUUCUCUUGGUAGAGUUUGAUUCUCUUAUACUCAGUAUAUGAUUGAGAUUAAGCAAGUUAAAAAACUCAAUUUCUUCAAUAAUGGAGUAAUCACUGUACAUUUAAAUUUUAGGCUACUACAAAUGUGAUCAGUGUACUACAUCUCAGAAUGUGUCUGUAUGCACAAUUAAAAUAGAUGACUGUAUGUGUUUGUAUGUCGUUUUUUUUCAUUCAAAUCGGUAUUAAUGUUUUCUCCUAAGAUAUAUAAUCAGAGUUUUAUAAUAGUUUUUCCCCAUGUGUUUUAUUGAAGAAUUAGAUGAGUAGAGCCAACAACAAACCGAACAAAGCCACACAAAAGAGAGUUUUGUAAUAGUUUUAGUAAAGUGAUAGGAUGUAGAGUAGAAAAUACGGGUAUUAGAUAAAAAUUUAUUGAGAGUUUAGUGUAUUUGACCAUUUAAAAACAGCUUUAAGAGGAAGGAACUGUACUGAUAGAGGAUGUGAUGCUCCGCUUAAGCCAAUGAACAGGUGUUUAAACACAUCACACAUCAGUCACCGUGAGAAUAAAACUCCCCUCCUGUCCCAAAUCACUGAGAACAGACUCUCAGCCCCGCAGAAAACAUCUCUGGAAGAAGAAGAAGAAGAAGAACAAGAAAGCAUAAUCAUGAAUAAAAUACUGGCAUUGUGCAUUGGGUUACUGAUUAUAACCUUACCUUUUUCAUCGCAGGAGGACAAAAACAAACCCACCAGCCCUACAAGUGCUAUGUCUGAAAAGCCUCAGAGCAAUGCUGCAGGAUUGGGUCCGCUGCCCACCGUGCUGUGCCUUUUGCUCCCAGCAGCCACCCUAGGCUUCAUGCACAGAAGACCCUAAACUGUCUGGAGAAUGUUUAGAUGAUCAAGAAGACCAAAUGAAGAAGUCACAUGAAGACCAAAAUUUUCCAAAAAUAUUUGAAGAUAGAAGACACAACAAGAACAACUCAACAAGAAGAUCCCACAACAAUUAAUUUUUUUUUUUUUAAAGGAAAAUUUCCAUUGUAUACUGUACCGAGAAUCCUCCAAACCCCAACGAAACCACACCAUCAAACUCUUUGUUGUGUUUUAGCCCUGCUUUAAAUUGGACUCAUCAGUCGCAACAUCUUGUGAAAGAUUGUAUUAAUAUGAUCACUGUAAUCCACCUUCUCCAAAAUAUUUUUUUACUAACUGUGAUGAACUAUUAAUUGUAAUGAUUAAGAACGUGUCUAUAUGCACAAUUAAAGUGGAUGAUUGUA